rnacentral:rRNA from 1 species
GAAUUAGAGUUUGAUCAUGGCUCAGAUUGAACGCUGGCGGCAGGCCUAACACAUGCAAGUCGGACGGUAGCACAGAGGAGCUUGCUCCUCGGGUGACGAGUGGCGGACGGGUGAGUAAUGUCUGGGGAUCUGCCCGAUAGAGGGGGAUAACCACUGGAAACGGUGGCUAAUACCGCAUAACGUCGCAAGACCAAAGAGGGGGACCUUCGGGCCUCUCACUAUCAGAUGAACCCAGAUGGGAUUAGCUAGUAGGCGGGGUAACGGCCCACCUAGGCGACGAUCCCUAGCUGGUCUGAGAGGUGACCAGCCACACUGGAACUGAGACACGGUCCAGACUCCUACGGGAGGCAGCAGUGGGGAAUAUUGCACAAUGGGCGCAAGCCUGAUGCAGCCAUGCCGCGUGUAUGAAGAAGGCCUUCGGGUUGUAAAGUACUUUCAGCGGGGAGGAAGGCAGUGAGGUUAAUA